GGCCGUUUAGCUCAGUGGAUAGAGCGGAGCUUUCCUAAGGCUCAGGUCGCAGGUUCGACCCCUGCAUCGGUCG
rfam:Volvox carteri f. nagariensis unplaced genomic scaffold VOLCAscaffold_106, whole genome shotgun sequence.